rnacentral:rRNA from 1 species
CGCGAGCAGGCUUUGAUCCGUGGAUUUCCGAAUGGGGCAACCCACCGCUUCGGCGGUAUCUUUCUCUGAAUACAUAGGAGGAAGAGGCGAACCCGGGGAACUGAAACAUCUAAGUACCCGGAGGAAAGGACAUCAACCGAGACUCCGCAAGUAGUGGCGAGCGAACGCGGACCAGGCCAGUGGUCGCAGAGGGACAACCGGAACCGUCUGGAAAGUCGGGCCGGAGCGGGUGACAGCCCCGUACGGGUAAUGACCUCCGCGAUCCUCGAGUAGGGCGGGACACGUGAAAUCCUGCCUGAACAUGGGGGGACCACCCUCCAAGCCUAAGUACUCCUCAGUGACCGAUAGUGCACCAGUACCGUGAGGGAAAGGUGAAAAGCACCCCGACGAGGGGAGUGAAACAGACCUGAAACCGGAUGCCUACAAGCAGUCGGAGCGGCCCUGUGCCGUGACGGCGUACCUUUUGUAUAAUGGGUCAGCGACUUAGAGUAUGCAGCGAGCUUAAGCCGGUAGGUGGAGGCGCAGCGAAAGCGAGUCUGAACAGGGCGUUUCAGUUGCAUGCUCUAGACCCGAAACCUGAUGAUCUAGCCAUGGGCAGGUUGAAGGUGCGGUAACACGCACUGGAGGACCGAACUCACGCCUGUUGAAAAAGUCGGAGAUGACCUGUGGCUAGGGGUGAAAGGCCAAUCAAAUCAGGAAAUAGCUGGUUCUCCGCGAAAGCUAUUUAGGUAGCGCGUCGGAUGAUUGCCCACGGGGGUAGAGCACUGGAUGGGCUAGGGGGCCUCACCGCUUACCAAACCUAACCAAACUCCGAAUACCGUGGAGCACAGUCCGGCAGACAGACGGUCGGUGCUAAGGUCGAUCGUCAAGAGGGAAACAGCCCAGACCGCCAGCUAAGGUCCCCAAGUGGUGGCUAAGUGGGAAAGGAUGUGGGAAGGCCAUGACAACCAGGAGGUUGGCUUAGAAGCAGCCAUCCUUUAAAGAAAGCGUAAUAGCUCACUGGUCUAGACAAGCCGGCCUGCGCCGAAAAUGUACCGGGGCUCAAGCCACCCACCGAAGCUGCGG